rnacentral:rRNA from 1 species
GCGAGUCGCGCCAAGGAAUACGAAAAUGAUGAGGAGCACGCCGGCUGCCGCCGCCCCGUCCGCGGGGUCCGUGCGCGCAGCGUCGUGUCUCCUCCGUCGCGAAAAAAAUAACAAACGACUCUCGGCAACGGAUAUCUCGGCUCUCGCAUCGAUGAAGAACGUAGCGAAAUGCGAUACUUGGUGUGAAUUGCAGAAUCCCGUGAACCAUCGAGUCUUUGAACGCAAGUUGCGCCCCAAGCCAUUAGGCCGAGGGCACGUCUGCCUGGGUGUCACGCAUCGUCGCCCCUCCCCAUCCCUGGCCCCUCGGGGCUCCGGGUGAGGCGGGGGGCGGAAAAUGGCCUCCCGUGAGCUCCGCGCUCGCGGUUGGCCUAAAAUCGGGUCCUCGGCGACGAUAGCGCCGCGACAAUCGGUGGUCAUGCCUCGAGCGCUCCGGUCGCGUGCGUUUUCGUUCGUUCGGACCCUUCGAGACCCUACUCGCGUCGCACGAGCGAUGCU